UACGUAGGGCGCAAGCGUUGUCCGGAAUUAUUGGGCGUAAAGAGCUCGUAGGCGGCUUGUCGCGUCGGAUGUGAAAGCCCGGGGCUUAACCCCGGGUCUGCAUUCGAUACGGGCAGGCUAGAGUGCGGUAGGGGAGACUGGAAUUCCUGGUGUAGCGGUGGAAUGCGCAGAUAUCAGGAGGAACACCGGUGGCGAAGGCGGGUCUCUGGGCCGAUACUGACGCUGAGGAGCGAAAGCGUGGGGAGCGAACAGG
rnacentral:rRNA from 1 species